GACGAACGCUGGCGGCGUGCCUAAUACAUGCAAGUUGAGCGCUGAAGGUUGGUACUUGUACCAACUGGAUGAGCAGCGAACGGGCGAGUAACGCGUGGGGAAUCUGCCUUUGAGCGGGGGACAACAUUUGGAAACGAAUGCUAAUACCGCAUAAAAACUUUAAACACAAGUUUUAAGUUUGAAAGAUGCAAUUGCAUCACCCAAAGAUGAUCCCGCGUUGUAUUAGCUAGUUGGUGAGGUAAAGGCUCACCAAGGCGAUGAUACAUAGCCGACCUGAGAGGGUGAUCGGCCACAUUGGGACUGAGACACGGCCCAAACUCCUACGGGAGGCAGCAGUAGGGAAUCUUCGGCAAUGGACGAAAGUCUGACCGAGCAACGCCGCGUGAGUGAAGAAGGUUUUCGGAUCGUAAAACUCUGUUGGUAGAGAAGAACGUUGGUGAGAGUGGAAAGCUCAUCAAGUGACGGUAACUACCCAGAAAGGGACGGCUAACUACGUG
rnacentral:rRNA from 1 species